rfam:Candidatus Collierbacteria bacterium CG1_02_44_10 cg1_0.2_scaffold_6811_c, whole genome shotgun sequence.
GGGCCCAUGGCGCAGUUGGCUAGCGCGCCUCAUUUGCAAUGAGGAGGUCAUGGGUUCGAAUCCCAUUGGGUCCA